rnacentral:rRNA from 1 species
AUUGAACGCUGGCGGCAGGCCUAACACAUGCAAGUCGAACGAGUGGCGGACGGGUGAGUAAUGUCUGGGAAACUGCCCGAUGGAGGGGGAUAACUACUGGAAACGGUAGCUAAUACCGCAUACCAUCGGAUGUGCCCAGAUGGGAUUAGCUUGUAGGUGAGGUAACGGCUCACCUAGGCGACGAUCCCUAGCUGGUCUGAGAGGAUGACCAGCCACACUGGAACUGAGACACGGUCCAUGCUCCUCCGGGAGGCCGCAGGGGGGAAUAUUGAACAAGGGUCGCAAGCCUGAUGCAGCCAUGCCGCUUGUAUGAAGAGGGCCUUCGGGUUGUAAAGUACUUUCAGCGGUGAGGCGUUACCCGCAGAAGACGCACCGGCUAACUCCGUGCCAGCAGCCGCGGUAAUAC